GAUGUCUACUAGUCGUUGGGUCCCUUGAGGACUUAGUGACGCAGCUAACGCAAUAAGUAGACCGCCUGGGGAGUACGGCCGCAAGGUUAAAACUCAAAUGAAUUGACGGGGGCCCGCACAAGCGGUGGAGCAUGUGGUUUAAUUCGAUGCAACGCGAAGAACCUUACCUGGUCUUGACAUAUCUAGAAUCCUGCAGAGAUGCGGGAGUGCCUUCGGGAAUUAGAAUACAGGUGCUGCAUGGCUGUCGUCAGCUCGUGUCGUGAGAUGUUGGGUUAAGUCCCGCAACGAGCGCAACCCUUGUCCUUAGUUACCAGCGGGUUAAGCCGGGAACUCUAAGGAUACUGCCAGUGACAAACUGGAGGAAGGCGGGGACGACGUCAAGUCAUCAUGGCCCUUACGACCAGGGCUACACACGUGCUACAAUGGUAGGUACAGAGGGCAGCUACACAGCGAUGUGAUGCGAAUCUCAAAAAGCCUAUCGUAGUCCAGAUUGGAGUCUGCAACUCGACUCCAUGAAGUAGGAAUCGCUAGUAAUCGCGGAUCAGAAUGCCGCGGUGAAUACGUUCCCGGGCCUUGUACACACCGCCCGUCACACAC
rnacentral:rRNA from 1 species